UCGGGAAUUUUGGGCAAUGGGCGAAAGCCUGACCCAGCAACGCCGCGUGAAGGAUGAAGUAUUUCGGUAUGUAAACUUCGAAAGAAUAGGAAGAAUAAAUGACGGUACUAUUUAUAAGGUCCGGCUAACUACGUGCCAGCAGCCGCGGUAAUACGUAGGGACCAAGCGUUGUUCGGAUUUACUGGGCGUAAAGGGCGCGUAGGCGGCAAUUCAAGUCAUCUGUGAAAUCUCCGGGCUUAACUCGGAACGGCCAAGUGAUACUGCAAAGCUAGAGUGCAGAAGGGGCAAUCGGAAUUCUUGGUGUAGCGGUGAAAUGCGUAGAUAUCAAGAGGAACACCUGAGGUGAAGACGGGUUGCUGGGCUGACACUGACGCUGAGGCGCGAAAGCCAGGGGAGCAAACGGGAUUAGAUACCCCAGUAGUCCCUGAGCGGGCUGGCAAGGCGCAU
rnacentral:rRNA from 1 species